GGCAGGGUAGGGCACCGCUUACCUAUUACAGAGAAUAUUAUUUAAAAAAAUCCUCAGCCCAGGCCCUCCGCCGCAAGGAGAUCCACGCCGGCCGCGCCGCGCGUGGGCGCUCCACCUCCACGGUCCCGCCCAGCGCCCGUGAGAAGACUGUGGCGUGUCGCACACCCCAUCCCCUCCUCCGAUAUCUCCACAAACUCGUUGCGGCGCCCCCUCCUCCUGACCUAUGGCAGUGGGGAGCUGGUCGUUCUUGCUCGCCGCAGCUUGUAUCUCCAGCGCUGCUGUGGCCGCCGCCGCCGCCGUCUCGUCGUCGGCUGAGCAGGCAGGUAGCAGCCAGGAAUCCAUCAAUUGUAUGCCCUGCUCUAGGAGGUACAUCGGCAAUGCAUAUCUUGAUACCUUGACAGGCCAGCUUGCUCAGCGUCGUGACUUAACUGAAAUGAGUAGUUCUGGUGGCUUGUGCAAAGGACUUGCUGAUGAUGUCGAAGUGCCUACGCUUUCAGAAUUGCGCCGGCAACUAGUUGGUGAAGGUUCUCACCGCCAUUUAGUCUAUUCUAUGAAAUUUGAUGACGGUCAAGAUGCUAUGGUUAAUUUCCUUGAUGGUUAUGAUGCCAAUCUGGUGAUAAUUGAAAAGCUCCCGGAUGGGGUCUUUGCUGAUCCGUUUGAGCUACAGCAUUUUGUUGAGCGGAAAGUUUUUCUUGAUGUUGCUGUUUUUGGAGACACCAACCUUGAACUACCCUCAGCUCUGUCCAACUUGUCAGCUGCUGAGAUUCAUGUUGAUCUCAGGCCAAGCACAUCAACAAACCGUAACCUUGAAAUAGACCUGCCUCUUCAUGCUAGAUACCCGGGAACAAUAUGAGUUGGAAUACUUGCAUUUGAGAUGCUCAAAGUGCAUAGAAGAGAUUGGCGGAUGAUCCAAAUAAUGACAAAAGAAAAAGAAAUGUAGAAAGCAACAUUUUCUGGCAAUGGCCACGCUGCCCACCCUGCCAUUUUUGGUCUUGCCUUCUUUACCCAUCAUUUGUUUCGGAAGCCUCUUGAUGCCAGUGGCUAUGCAAUGGUUGAGUUUGGUAGCCCAGAUCUGUUCCUACGCUACAGAAGAAAGAAAACCCACUCCGAUUCCUGUUUGUGGGUGCUUAAGAAUCUCGACGCCGCUCCCUUGGAGAAAGCUGCGUGGCGCAUACCCUGUGGAGAUGAAUCACACAUAGGAUUUGUAUCCAGUAUCACGUUUCUUUCA